GACGAACGCUGGCGGCGUGCUUAACACAUGCAAGUCGAACGGUGAAGCUCCAGCUUGCUGGAGUGGAUCAGUGGCGAACGGGUGAGUAACACGUGAGCAACCUGCCCCUGACUCUGGAAUAAACGCUGGAAACGGCGUCUAAUACUGGAUACGAGAAGGGUCCGCAUGGGCACUUUCUGGAAAGUUUUUCGGUUGGGGAUGGGCUCGCGGCCUAUCAGCUUGUUGGUGAGGUAAUGGCUCACCAAGGCGACGACGGGUAGCCGGCCUGAGAGGGCGACCGGCCACACUGGGACUGAGACACGGCCCAGACUCCUACGGGAGGCAGCAGUGGGGAAUAUUGCACAAUGGGCGAAAGCCUGAUGCAGCGACGCCGCGUGAGGGAUGACGGCCUUCGGGUUGUAAACCUCUUUCAGCAGGGAAGAAGCGAAAGUGACGGUACCUGCAGAAGAAGCACCGGCUAACUACGUG
rnacentral:rRNA from 1 species